rnacentral:rRNA from 1 species
AUUGAACGCUGGCGGCAGGCCUAACACAUGCAAGUCGAGCGGAGCGGCGGACGGGUGAGUACUGCCUAGGAAUCUGCCUGGUAGUGGGGGAUAACGUCCGGAAACGGGCGCUAAUACCGCAUACUAUCAGAUGAGACUAGGUCGGAUUAGCUAGUUGGAGGGGUAAAGGCCUACCACGGCCACGAGCCGUAUCUGGUCUGAGAGGAUGAUCAGCCACAUUGGAACUGAGACACGGUCCAGACUCCUACGGGAGGCAGCAGUGGGGAAUAUUGGACAAUGGGCGAAAGCCUGAUGCAGCCAUGCCGCGUGUGUGAAGAAGGUCUUCGGAUUGUAAAGCACUUUAAGUUGUGAGGCGUUACCAACAGAAUAAGCACCGGCUAACUUCGUGCCAGCCGCCGCGGUAAUAC